rnacentral:tRNA from 1 species
GAUAAGGUGGUCUAAUGUUAGGAUAUAGGGCUCAUGCCCCUAAGGUGCCGUAAAUAACGGUCUUUAUCU